AGUGAACGCUGGCGGUAGGCCUAACACAUGCAAGUCGAACGGCAGCACAGUAAGAGCUUGCUCUUACGGGUGGCGAGUGGCGGACGGGUGAGGAAUACAUCGGAAUCUACUUUUUCGUGGGGGAUAACGUAGGUAAACUUACGCUAAUACCGCAUACGACCUACGGGUGAAAGCAGGGGAUCUUCGGACCUUGCGCGAUUGAAUGAGCCGAUGUCGGAUUAGCUAGUUGGCGGGGUAAAGGCCCACCAAGGCGACGAUCCGUAGCUGGUCUGAGAGGAUGAUCAGCCACACUGGAACUGGGACACGGUCCAGACUCCUACGGGAGGCAGCAGUGGGGAAUAUUGGACAAUGGGCGCAAGCCUGAUCCAGCCAUACCGCGUGGGUGAAGAAGGCCUUCGGGUUGUAAAGCCCUUUUGUUGGGAAAGAAAAGCAGCAGGUUAAUACCCCGCUGUUCUGACGGUACCCAAAGAAUAAGCACCGGCUAACUUCGUG
rnacentral:rRNA from 1 species